GUUCCUUGAGGGACAUGCGAUUAAAAUGGAAAGAUACAGAGAAGAUUAGCAUGAUCCAUGCUCAAGAAUGACACACAUUUAUAUAUUAUAUUUCAUCAGACUUAU